AAAGGCGCUUUCGGGUGUCGCUGAUGGAUGGACCCGCGGUGCAUUAGCUAGUUGGUGAGGUAACGGCUCACCAAGGCCACGAUGCAUAGCCGACCUGAGAGGGUGAUCGGCCACAUUGGGACUGAGACACGGCCCAAACUCCUACGGGAGGCAGCAGUAGGGAAUCUUCGGCAAUGGACGAAAGUCUGACCGAGCAACGCCGCGUGAGUGAAGAAGGUUUUCGGAUCGUAAAACUCUGUUGUUAGAGAAGAACAAGGAUGAGAGUAACUGUUCAUCCCUUGACGGUAUCUAACCAGAAAGCCACGGCUAACUACGUGCCAGCAGCCGCGGUAAUACGUAGGUGGCAAGCGUUGUCCGGAUUUAUUGGGCGUAAAGCGAGCGCAGGCGGUUUCUUAAGUCUGAUGUGAAAGCCCCCGGCUCAACCGGGGAGGGUCAUUGGAAACUGGGAGACUUGAGUGCAGAAGAGGAGAGUGGAAUUCCAUGUGUAGCGGUGAAAUGCGUAGAUAUAUGGAGGAACACCAGUGGCGAAGGCGGCUCUCUGGUCUGUAACUGACGCUGAGGCUCGAAAGCGUGGGGAGCAAACAGGAUUAGAUACCCUGGUAGUCCACGCCGUAAACGAUGAGUGCUAAGUGUUGGAGGGUUUCCGCCCUUCAGUGCUGCAGCUAACGCAUUAAGCACUCCGCCUGGGGAGUACGACCGCAAGGUUGAAACUCAAAGGAAUUGACGGGGGCCCGCACAAGCGGUGGAGCAUGUGGUUUAAUUCGAAGCAACGCGAAGAACCUUACCAGGUCUUGACAUCCUUUGACCACUCUAGAGAUAGAGCUUCCCCUUCGGGGGCAAAGUGACAGGUGGUGCAUGGUUGUCGUCAGCUCGUGUCGUGAGAUGUUGGGUUAAGUCCCGCAACGA
rnacentral:rRNA from 1 species